rnacentral:SRP_RNA from 1 species
GGUCGGGACCUAUGCAAUGAAGGCUUCCCGCGAACCCCGCCAGAUUCGGAAGAAAGCAACGGUAGCAGGAACCUCAUGUGCCGUAGGCAACCUGACCCCU